rnacentral:rRNA from 1 species
AUUGAACGCUGGCGGAAUGCUUUACACAUGCAAGUCGAGCGGCAGCGCGGGGCAACCUGGCGGCGAGCGGCGAACGGGUGAGUAAUACAUCGGAACGUACCCAGUUGUGGGGGAUAACACAUCGAAAGAUGUGCUAAUACCGCAUACGACCUGAGGGUGAGAGCGGGGGAUCGCAAGACCUCGCGCGAUUGGAGCGGCCGAUGGCGGAUUAGCUAGUUGGUGGGGUAAAGGCCUACCAAGGCGACGAUCCGUAGCUGGUCUGAGAGGACGACCAGCCACACUGGAACUGAGACACGGUCCAGACUCCUACGGGAGGCAGCAGUGGGGAAUUUUGGACAAUGGGGGCAACCCUGAUCCAGCCAUUCCGCGUGAGUGAAGAAGGCCUUCGGGUUGUAAAGCUCUUUCGGCAGGAACGAAACGGUGGGGGCUAAUAUCCUCUGCUAAUGACGGUACCUGAAGAAGAAGCACCGGCUAACUACGUGCCAGCCGCCGCCGUAAAAC